UACGUAGGGGGCAAGCGUUGUCCGGAUUUAUUGGGCGUAAAGAGCGUGUAGGCGGCCAGGUAGGUCUGCUGUGAAAACUCGAGGCUUAACCUCGAGAUGUCGGCGGAAACCAUCUGGCUAGAGUCCGGAAGAGGAGAAUGGAAUUCCCGGUGUAGCGGUGAAAUGCGCAGAUAUCGGGAAGAACACCCGUGGCGAAGGCGGUUCUCUGGGACGGUACUGACGCUGAGGCGCGAAAGCCAGGGGAGCAAACGGG
rnacentral:rRNA from 1 species